rnacentral:lncRNA from 11 species
GAGUUUCAAAGAAGAAAGCCAGAAAUUGUCUGGGUUCCUUGGUCUGGCAAUCCAAACAGGGCUUAUCUGGAGUACUGCAUUCAGCUUUUGGUGCCUCAUUUUAAGACAGAUAUAGACAACCUGGAGCAGGUUCAGAAAAGAGCAAGAAUGCUACGAAGUGUGGAGAACAAAACAUCUAAGAUCUGUCAAAGAUGUUUUGCUGCCUGAGACAGAAAAUAGUGCCCUGCACAUGUGUCAAAAUGAAGAAUAUCCAAAUCCAG